UACGGAGGAUCCAAGCGUUAUCCGGAUUUAUUGGGUUUAAAGGGUGCGUAGGCGGAUUGAUAAGUUAGAGGUGAAAUGUCCGAGCUCAACUCGGGAACUGCCUCUAAUACUGUUGAUCUAGAGAGUAGAUGCGGUAGGCGGAAUGUAUGGUGUAGCGGUGAAAUGCUUAGAGAUCAUACAGAACACCGAUUGCGAAGGCAGCUUACCAAUCUAUAUCUGGCGUUGAGGCACGAAAGCGUGGGGAGCAAACAGG
rnacentral:rRNA from 1 species